GAUGAACGCUGGCGGCGUGCCUAAUACAUGCAAGUCGAGCGAACGGACGAGAAGCUUGCUUCUCUGAUGUUAGCGGCGGACGGGUGAGUAACACGUGGAUAACCUACCUAUCAGACUGGGAUAACUUCGGGAAACCGGAGCUAAUACCGGAUAAUAUUUUGAACCGCAUGGUUCAAAAGUGAAAGACGGUCUUGCUGUCACUUAUAGAUGUAUCCGCGCUGCAUUAGCUAGUUGGUAAGGUAACGGCUUACCAAGGCAACGAUGCAUAGCCGACCUGAGAGGGUGAUCGGCGACACUGGAACUGAGACACGGUCCAGACUCCUACGGGAGGCAGCAGUAGGGAAUCUUCCGCAAUGGGCGAAAGCAUGACGGAGCAACGCCGCGUGAGGGAUGAAGGUCUUCGGAUCGUAAAACUCUGUUAUUAGGGAAGAACAUAUGUGUAAGUAACUGUGCACAUCUUGACGGUACCUAAUCAGAAAGCCACGGCUAACUACGUG
rnacentral:rRNA from 1 species